AACCGCACGGGAUAAUCGUUUUAUCGCGUGCGGUUGCCCUAAGCGGACCGCACGGGAUAAUCGAUUAUCCCGUGCGGCC
rnacentral:pre_miRNA from 13 species